UACGUAGGGAGCAAGCGUUGUCCGGAAUCAUUGGGCGUAAAGCGCGCGUAGGUGGCUUCAUAAGUCCGUUGUGAAAGUCAAAGGCUCAACCUUUGAAAGCCGAUGGAUACUGUGGAGCUAGAGUACGGAAGAGGCGAGUGGAAUUCCUGGUGUAGCGGUGGAAUGCGCAGAUAUCAGGAGGAACACCAAUUGCGAAGGCAGCUCGCUGGGACGUUACUGACGCUGAGACGCGAAAGCGUGGGGAGCAAACAGG
rnacentral:rRNA from 1 species